AGUGAACGCUGGCGGUAGGCCUAACACAUGCAAGUCGAACGGCAGCACAGUAAGAGCCUGCUCUUACGGGUGGCGAGUGGCGGACGGGUGAGGAAUACAUCGGAAUCUACUUUUUCGUGGGGGCUAACGUAGGGAAACUUACGCUAAUACCGCAUACGACCUACGGGUGAAAGCAGGGGAUCUUCGGACCUUGCGCGAUUGAAUGAGCCGAUGUCGGAUUAGUUAGUUGGCGGGGUAAAGGCCCACCAAGGCGACGAUCCGUAGCUGGUCUGAGAGGAUGAUCAGCCACACUGGAACUGAGACACGGUCCAGACUCCAACGGGAGGCAGCAGUGGGGAAUAUUGGACAAUGGGCGCAAGCCUGAUCCAGCCAUACCGCGUGGGUGAAGAAGGCCUUCGGGUUGUAAAGCCCUUUUGUUGGGAAAGAAAAGCAGCAGGUUAAUACCCCGCUGUUCUGACGGUACCCAAAGAAUAAGCACCGGCUAACUUCGUG
rnacentral:rRNA from 1 species